rnacentral:rRNA from 1 species
AGUGAACGCUGGCGGUAGGCCUAACACAUGCAAGUCGAACGGCAGCACAGUAAGAGCUUGCUCUUACGGGUGGCGAGUGGCGGACGGGUGAGGAAUACAUCGGAAUCUACUUUUUCGUGGGGGAUAACGUAGGGAAACUUACGCUAAUACCGCAUACGACCUACGGGUGAAAGCAGGGGAUCUUCGGACCUUGCGCGAUUGAAUGAGCCGAUGUCGGAUUAGCUAGUUGGCGGGGUAAAGGCCCACCAAGGCGACGAUCCGUAGCUGGUCUGAGAGGAUGGUCGGCCGCACUGGAACUGAAACACGGUCCAGACUCCUAAGGGAGGCAGCAGUGGGGAAUGUUGGACAAUGGGCGCAAGCCUGAUCCAGCCAUACCGCGUGGGUGAAGAAGGCCUUCGGGUUGUAAAGCCCUUUUGUUGGGAAAGAAAAGCAGCAGGUUAAUACGCCGCUGUUCUGACGGUACCCAAAGAAUAAGCACCGGCUAACUUCGUG